GAAACUAUGGUCAUCGGCUGUGAAAACCUUCAAAUUAAUGUGAUUUCAUUUAAUUUACCAGAAAUAUGUUUUGCUUUUUAAUACAGUUUUUUAUACAGUAAUAGUACAUGAGAACGUCUUAGGACAAUAUCAUACAAGGCUUCUAUUGCAGGACUAGAGCAAGGUAGUAACAUUAUUGGGUAGUAUUUUACUGCAUGAUAUUGUCUUUCAUCUCAUUGCUAGUGUAUCCUUCACUCAGUUCUGAAACACACCUUGCCAUUGAUGAGGAAAGCCUGACAAUAUCUCCCAAUAGCACAAGUGCCCAGUCCUCCUCGUGUGAUAAUCUCUUCUGUUUCAGAAAUAGAAGAGAUAACAGUCACAUGGCACGAGAAGGCAGGAUUCUCCUCCUCUUACCCUCUCUCUUCCUUCCUCCUUACUCUUGGAUAUGGUGGGGAACUGUACUUUGAACAACUCGGACAAUUUACUCUUUCAUUUUUACAGGGCUCACGAAGGGUAGAAGAAAUGGAGAUCCAUUACGAAGUAACCUGAAGAGGAUAGAAGGUCUUCGUCAAAAAAAAUUGAUGGUGAAAGCUUUCAUAAAAGAUAUGAAAAGUUCUGUGAGAACAGAUGAGAAACUUAUUGCCAUGUUAGGAAAGGUUGCAGACGAUUUUGAGUCCGAUGAAUUGGCAGUCGCGGAUGUAUUAAACGGUAAUGUUGGAAAUUUUGACAUUCUAUUGUGUGUGGGGGGGGAGGGGGUUCUCGCUGUUAUGAAAGGACAUCGCUUAUUUCUAGCAUCCCUCAGGGCGCCAUCCUGUCCCUGAUGCUAUUUCUGGGGGACUUGGAAACUGGUACACACACACCUUGACUCGGUUUCUGCAAUGCACUCUACAUGGGGCUAUCCUUGUACUUAAUCCAGAAACUUCAAUUGGCACAGGAUAUUUUAUUA